rfam:Mucor ambiguus DNA, scaffold: scf_mam1_v10001, strain NBRC 6742.
GGUUUCUUGGUGUAGUCGGUUAUCACAUCUGCUUAACACGCAGAAGGCCGCCAGUUCAAGUCUGGCAGAAAUCA